GUGUUUCUUGUGAUGUGAACGAUUGCAACGAAUAAGGUAUCUGCCACGUUUCCUGUUUGUAACCGAAAACGUCGAAAGACGAUAAAAAUAGCAGCAACACUUGUGCACUUCUUGCUGAACAUGGUCACGUACAGGUGAAAGGUUUUAUCAGACAAGGAUUUAUUGGACAUUUGACACUAUUAAAUCAUGGGGACAGUAACAUCUCAGUGUGCAAGUCAACAUGUUGCUAUUGGUCUGACAUCGAUUGCACUGCUGAUAUCUGUGUGCUUAAAUGUUGCAUUCUAUUUAAUAAGAAGAAAGGGAAAAAAAUAUGCAGUUAAUGAAAACAUGUUGGAAUAUGAAGAUGAGCCAUUACAUCAAGAUUCACUUCGGUCUUACAGGUUUGAGGAUGAUGAGAUGGAAAGACAAGAAAAUCCGAUUUAUGGAAAUAUAUGUUUAGAGGGAGGAGGAGCUUUUGAAAUCUCUCAGGAGGUGUGCUAUGAACAAAUGUCACAUGCAAACACAGCAAAGCAGGGAUUAAAGGUCCAGCCAGGGGACGUGUCCUAUGCCUCUCUUGAUCUGACUGCCAAUAAAAAGCGUAGGAAGAAGAGAAAAUACCAAAAACAGGCUCAGACUCACCAGGCCCAGACACAUCCUCAACCUGCAUCCCAGCAGAUCUGCAUGGACCAGGAUGACGAGCCUGAUGUCACCCUCCCGUCCCGGAGCAGCAGCCUCCUGAUUUCACGUCACAGCAUCUACCUCAACAGUCAUCAAGUAGCCCUGGAGGCAGAAGAGAGGGAGAGGGAGAGGGAGAGAGAGAGGGAGAGAGAGAUGGAAAUUGAAAGAGAAAGAGAAAGAGAUGAUAAUGUAGAGAGAGAGUUUGAUAUGCACAGAAAUGUGCAUGAAGGCUUUGAUCACUCCCUCGGUAGAUCAAGACAAAGUCUAAAACUGGACAGUUAACAGUUAGAAAGUAAAAAAAAAACAACAACAAAAAAAACUUUAGCGUCUUACUUGUAAAAACACAGGAUACUGUAGGGUGGGGCUGUCAGCGACUGUGAUAUUUUAAGCUCAUCUCUACCCCAAAUCAUAAUUUCUGUGCAUUCAAAAGCAUGCAGAGGAGACCAGCUAUCUGAUCUUGUGUCCAAUCGAGACACAUAUAAAGGAGUUCACCACUUUAAAUCUGCUUUCUUGUUUCUUGCAUUUGAAGUUAUAUAAACGUUUGUCUUGAUAUAUACUGCCAACAAAAUUGUCAUGGACCCCGCCGGACAGCUACGAAAUUUGCGGGACUUCCUCCUCGUUUACAAUCGCAUGACGGAAAUCUGCUUCCAGCGAUGCACAAGCAAUUUCAACUACAGAAAUCUGACGAUGGAUGAGGAGCGAUGUGCUGACAGUUGUGCUGGCAAAUUAAUAAGGACCAAUCACCGUUUAAUGGGCACGUAUGUGCAGCUGAUGCCCGCGAUGGUGCAGAAGCGAAUGCAGGAGAUGGAGAGCAAAGCUGCAGAAUUAGCAAAAGCUGAAGCUGCAGCACAAGGAGGUGCUUCAUCAUUAGAAAAUCCAUCUACUGCCAUCACAGCAACAACACCAAUGCUUGAGAGCCCACAGAUACCUCCAGUUUCUAAUAAUCUAUCAGAUAUGAAGACUAAUGUCUUAGCUUUUGGACACACACAAUCAUUGACAGAUGUGCCCACAGUACCAAACAAUUCACAAACCUUUACAAAUGAGUCUUUAGAAGGACUAGUAGCACCAUCACCAGAGAUCUCAGCAUCUUCUUGUGUACCUAAAGUAGAUGGAGGUCCCGUCUUGAGUGCAGUAGAACAACCCAAUGUGAAGCCCAGCAGUGUAACAACCACCGCAAUCCCUGAAACACGGUCUGAAUGGGGAGCAGGACAAAGCCCCCAAAAUCCAUCUUGAUCUGUGUCUUUUAAUAAAAGUGCAUCAUGGAAAGAUAAUUUAUUUGACUUCUUUAUUCAUUAUUAAAUCUGUAUGUGGUAUUUUUACAGUAGGAAAAUAUUUAUUUGAUCCCCUGCUGAUUUUGUACAAAGAAAUGAAGGGUCUGUAAUUGUAGGUUUAUUUUGACAGAUAGAGACAGAAUACCAACCAAAAAAUUCAAAAAACACAUUAUAUAAAAUGUACUGUAAAAUCUUGGACGAGAACCUCCUUCGCUCAGCCAGAACACUGAAGAUAGGUCAUGGAUGGGUCUUCCAGCAUGAGAAUGACCCGAAACAUACUGCCAAGGCAACAAAGGAGUGGCUCAAGAAGAAGCACAUUAAGGUCAUGGAGUGGCCUAGCAAGGGUUUCUGCACCAAGUCAUGUUUUUCUUGGGGAUCAAAUACUUUUUUCACUCAAUGAAAUGCAAAUCAAUUUCUAACCUUUAUAUAAUGUGUUUUUUUCUGGAUUUUUUGGUUGGUAUUCUGUCUCUAUACAUUAAAAUAAACUUACGAUAAAAAUUACAGACCCUUCAUUUUUUUGUAAGUGGGCAAACUUACAAAAUCAGCAGCGGAUCAAACAAAUAUUUUACCCACUGUAUGAUGUGUUUUGUGUAAUUAAAGAGAUAUGAGUAAAAAUGUUAUUAGAAAUUUUUUAUUAGAUAAUUCUUAUUAUCCACACUGACAAUUUUUUGUGUUCUUUUUUGUUAUCUUAAAGCUAUGUCUGUUCAAGCAGUUUUUUUUUAUCACAUUACAUACUUAUAUGAAUAUUAUAUAUUUAUUUUACACAUA
ensembl:lncRNA